rnacentral:rRNA from 1 species
CCUACGGGUGGCAGCAGUGAGGAAUAUUGGGCAAUGGGCGAGAGCCUGAACCAGCCAAGUCGCGUGAAGGAUGACGGCCCUACGGGUGGUAAACUUCUUUUGGCAGGGAGCAAUUGAGUCCACGUGUGGGGUUAGCGAGAGGACCUGAAGAAAAAGCAUCGGCAAACUCCGUGCCAGCAGGCGCGGUAAUACGGAGGAUGCGAGUGUUAUCCGGAUUGAUUGGGUUAAGAGGGUGCGAAGGCGGAAUACCAAGUCAGAGGUAAAAAUUCGGGGCUCAACCCCGUCGUGCCGUUGAAACUGAUGUUCUUGAGUGGGCGAGAAGUCAGCGGAAUGCGUGGUGUAGCGGUGAAAUGCAUAGAUAUCAGGCAGAACUCCGAUUGCGAAGGCAGAAUACCGGCGCCCAACUGACGCUGAGGCACGAAAGCGUGGGUAGCGAACAGGAUUAGAUACCCGAGUAGUC